UAUUAUUACUAUUGAUAUAAUAUGUUGUAUAUGUAGCCUACAUUGCGUGUUUGCAUAAAAGAGCAGGUUAAUCCUUUUUUGAACAGGUUUGUUGAAAAAUCCUUCUCGAAAGAAUCGUAUUUCCAAAGUACUGUCAACUGACCACAUCUUCUUCCGCUUGUCAAAAUAGUUCUGCUCAGUUUGGUGUUUUAUUACGGAUUUAUUCUCAUAGUACCGUUUCAUAAUUUGAUAUAAUAAUAUAAUAAUAUGCUGAUAUUAAAAUUAAAAAAAAUAAAAAAUGUAAUAUUCGAACUGAAGGAAUUCCCGCCCUAGCGCAAGGACACAUUCUCCUCCAAGCACGCAGUGGAGCUGCUGCGCGCGCAGAAGGAAUAACUCGACCUUCAGUUUCACGGUCAAUCUUCAAUCUGAGGCGAAAAUAAGCAGAUAAGUUCAGUGAGUGCUAAAACCAUGGUCAACAUGAAAGGUCAUAGUUAACGACCACAUCACCAUCUUCUGCAACGCUCUGAUGUUUGCUUCAUACAACUGCUUGAACAUUUCAUACCCAGGAAACCAAGGAGAAACGCAAGAGAUUGUGCAAAGAUUCCUUUUUAAGAUGAACCCCGAGAAGGGAUCGAAAGUGGAGAAGACCACAUCGAGAAAGAAAUCAGCAGUCAGUCCAAAGGUUCUUUCACUGAUUAACAAGAUUGCGGACUUUGAAAGGAUGGAGUAAAACUUGGAGUGUCAGAUCUUCCUACAUUGCCUAGCAGAAAUUCUUGACAGUGUCAAAGACUUAAAAUACUUGCUGAUUAUUUGCUUUCAUGGUUGAUUUUUUUUUUUUUUAAUGCAUCAUCUGUUGUCAAGAUGAAUUAAUCUGUUCACAGGUGGUUCAGUUUUAAGGACAAAUUAAUUCUUAUUUUUUAUUUGUUUACCAAUUUGCUAUAUUGUUGCAGUUUUGAACAAUUCUUUUGUGUGUUGUUGCAGUUAUUAAAUAUAUAUAUAUAUAUAUAUAUUAUAUACUGUUGCAGUUAUGAAAAAAAACUGAAUUGUAUGUGGUUGCAGUUGUGAUCUAAUUUAAACUUUUGGGCUUAUUUUUUUAUUGGAAUAUUGUUGCAGUUUAGCUAUAAUCUCUAUACUGGUAUAUUGUUGCAGUUUUGUACAAAGAAUAUUAGUAAAUUGCAGUCCUGAACAAACUAUUUGUAUAUUCUUGCAGAUUGGUCAAUAAAUUAUUAAAACACA